rnacentral:rRNA from 1 species
GGGGGGGGGGGGGGGGGGGGCUGGGGGGGGGGGGGGGGGCGGAGGGGCGGGGGGGUGGCGGCGGUGACGUUAGCGGCGGGCGGGGGGGGAACACGGGGGUAACCUACCUAUGAGACUGGGAUAGCGGCGGGAAACCGGAGCUAAUACCGGGUAAUAUAUUGGACCGCAUGGUUCAAUAGUGAAAGACGGUUUUGCUGGCACUUAUAGAUGGAUCCGCGCCGCAUUAGCUAGUUGGUAAGGUAACGGCUUACCAAGGCAACGAUGCGUAGCCGACCUGAGAGGGUGAUCGGCCACACUGGAACUGAGACACGGUCCAGACUCCUACGGGAGGCAGCAGUAGGGAAUCUUCCGCAAUGGGCGAAAGCCUGACGGAGCAACGCCGCGUGAGUGAUGAAGGUCUUCGGAUCGUAAAACUCUGUUAUUAGGGAAGAACAAAUGUGUAAGUAACUAUGCACGUCUUGACGGUACCUAAUCAGAAAGCCACGGCUAACUACGUG